AACGAACGCUGGCGGCAUGCCUAACACAUGCAAGUCGAACGAGACCUUCGGGUCUAGUGGCGCACGGGUGCGUAACGCGUGGGAACCUGCCCUUAGGUUCGGAAUAACUCCCCGAAAGGGGUGCUAAUACCGGAUAAUGUCUUCGGACCAAAGAUUUAUCGCCUUUGGAUGGGCCCGCGUUGGAUUAGCUAGUUGGUAGGGUAAAAGCCUACCAAGGCGACGAUCCAUAGCUGGUCUGAGAGGAUGAUCAGCCACACUGGGACUGAGACACGGCCCAGACUCCUACGGGAGGCAGCAGUGGGGAAUAUAGGACAAUGGGCGAAAGCCUGAUCCAGCAAUGCCGCGUGAGUGAUGAAGGCCUUAGGGUUGUAAAGCUCUUUUACCCGGGAUGAUAAUGACAGUACCGGGAGAAUAAGCACCGGCUAACUACGUG
rnacentral:rRNA from 1 species